rnacentral:rRNA from 1 species
AACGAACGCUGGCGGCAGGCUUAACACAUGCAAGUCGAGCGCCCCGCAAGGGGAGCGGCAGACGGGUGAGUAACGCGUGGGAAUCUACCCAUCUCUACGGAAUAACGCAUGGAAACGUGUGCUAAUACCGGAUACGUCCUUCGGGAGAAAGAUUUAUCGGAGAUGGAGGAGCCCGCGUUGGAUUAGCUAGUUGGUGGGGUAAAGGCCUACCAAGGCGACGAUCCAUAGCUGGUCUGAGAGGAUGAUCAGCCACACUGGGACUGAGACACGGCCCAGACUCCUACGGGAGGCAGCAGUGGGGAAUAUUGGACAAUGGGCGCAAGCCUGAUCCAGCCAUGCCGCGUGAGUGAUGAAGGCCCUAGGGUUGUAAAGCUCUUUCACCGGUGAAGAUAAUGACGGUAACCGGAGAAGAAGCCCCGGCUAACUUCGUGCCAGCCGCCGCAGUAAGAC